rnacentral:rRNA from 1 species
GAUGAACGCUGGCGGCGUGCCUAAUACAUGCAAGUCGAGCGAACGGACGAGAAGCUUGCUUCUCUGAUGUUAGCGGCGGACGGGUGAGUAACACGUGGAUAACCUACCUAUAAGACUGGGAUAACUUCGGGAAACCGGAGCUAAUACCGGAUGAUAUUUUGAACCGCAUGGUUCAAAAGUGAAAGACGGUCUUGCUGUCACUUAUAGAUGGAUCCGCGCUGCAUUAGCUAGUUGGUAAGGUAACGGCUUACCAAGGCAACGAUGCAUAGCCGACCUGAGAGGGUGAUCGGCCACACUGGAACUGAGACACGGUCCAGACUCCUACGGGAGGCAGCAGUAGGCAAUCUUCCGCAAUGGGCGAAAGCCUGACGGAGCAACGCCGCGUGAGUGAUGAAGGUCUUCGGAUCGUAAAACUCUGUUAUUAGGGAAGAACAUAUGUGUAAGUAACUGUGCACAUCUUGACGGUACCUAAUCAGAAGGCCACGGCUAACUACGUG